rnacentral:lncRNA from 1 species
AAACCUUUGACUGUCUGAGGCUGAAAAUGUCCUUUGUGCACACAAGCUUGUGUGAGCGAGAAGAAGGCUGACAAAGCUAUGCAGUCUUGAGGAGACUUAUUUUCAGACAUGGUCAAAGAAGGGAAUGGAAAAAGACCUGUCCUAGGGUGGAAACAGCAGUCACAUCCAGGCAGACUUAGAUCUUGCACUCGACCCUCCCAUAAAUAUAAGACAGAUGGAAAUAAAUAACCCACUUGAAAAGCCACUUGACUAUGGAUCUGAGAACGCUGUCUGGGCUUGGUGCCAAGGGCUGGUAUUUCACAGCAGCGACCGCCUCACAGACGAGCUGUGGGAAGCAGGAGAGAGACUCUCUCUUAGGGUGCCACUACUAUGGAGACACAGCUGGGCUGAACAAGAUUUGCUUCAAACGACAACAAGAGAGACAGAAAGUAUCUGGUUCAACCGCUGCCCAAGCAGGCAGGCACCAGAAGAGCUAGCAGCCAAUCCGGCCAUGCUCGAAGCCAGCUCUGCAGCUCAGCCAAUCAGUGACAUCACUGUUUUCUAUAGAUUGCCUAUGGUGAUGUGA